UGGGGAAUAUUGCACAAUGGGCGCAAGCCUGAUGCAGCCAUGCCGCGUGUGUGAAGAAGGCCUUCGGGUUGUAAAGCACUUUCAGCGAGGAGGAAGGUGGUGGACUUAAUACGUUCAUCAAUUGACGUUACUCGCAGAAGAAGCACCGGCUAACUCCGUGCCAGCAGCCGCGGUAAUACGGAGGGUGCAAGCGUUAAUCGGAAUUACUGGGCGUAAAGCGCACGCAGGCGGUUUGUUAAGUCAGAUGUGAAAUCCCCGGGCUCAACCUGGGAACUGCAUUUGAAACUGGCAAGCUAGAGUCUCGUAGAGGGGGGUAGAAUUCCAGGUGUAGCGGUGAAAUGCGUAGAGAUCUGGAGGAAUACCGGUGGCGAAGGCGGCCCCCCUGGACGAAGACUGACGCUCAGGUGCGAAAGCGUGGGGCAGCAAACAGGAUUAGAUACCCUGGUAGUCCACGCUGUAAAACGAUGUCGAUUUGGAGGUUGUGCCCUUGAGGCGUGGNUUCCGGAGCUAACGCGUUAAAUCGACCGCC
rnacentral:rRNA from 1 species